rnacentral:lncRNA from 1 species
UUUUUUUUUUUUUUUUUUUUUUUUUGUCUUAUUAGGGCCACACCAGUGGCAUAUGGAGGUUAACAGGCUAGAGGUCCAUUCAGAGCUGUAGCUGCUGGCCUACACCACAGCCAUUGCAAUGCCAGAUCCAAGCCGAAUCUGCGACCUACACCACAGCUCACAGCAACACCGGAUCAUUGACCCACCGAUCGAGGCCAGGGAUUGAACCCCCAACCUCAUGGUUCCUAUUAAGAUUUGUUUCCGCUGCACCAUGGGGGAGCUCCUGUAUAGGAAUAGUUUCUGAAUCUAAGUACCGUAUUAAACAGUAUACAAUGAUACUUUUGAACCACAAAAUAUCUGAAAAAAAAAAAAAAGAACAGAUGUUGCUUAAAAUUUUCAAGAAAAAAACUGAUUUCAUACUUAAAUUGAGAAGAUUCACAAAUAUUUUCACUAUAAAUAAUUCAAAAGCACAGUUUUAAUAGAAAAUGAUAAACCUUAAUUAAAUAUAUUUAUAUUGCCAAUAUCUAAUUACCUAUAUAUGUAUCUGUGGAUAUAUGUAUCUAUCCAUAUCAUACUUGCAUGCAUGUUCGGGUAUGUAUACAUAUGCACACAUAUAACUGUAUAUGCAUGUAUGUGUAAUGAGCAUAUAUUUAGAGGUAUGCUUGGGUUAUUUAUUCUUAACUGUUUUAUGAUUCAUUUUGAAAGAAGCCUUGAUAGUGGAAAGAUUUUUGUGAGUAUUUAUUCUUUGUGCUUCUAAACACAUCCAUUUAUUCUAAGUAAUAGACUGUUUCUGAUUUCCUAAGGAGACCAUCUUCCAGCUCCUUUUCAAGGGGCUACACUGUCACUUCACUUCACAUUCGCAGGGCACGUGCGCAGCGUCUCACGGAUUCUAAGCAACUGGGCAGAGUCAACAGCAAUGCUCUCCAGCAUUCUGAAGUUCCUACUCGGCUCAUCAGUAUGUUUCUAAAAUUGUAAGACUUCAGGUCACAUCACCAAACGUCUUUGAAGUAACAAUGCUUAAAUGAAAUAUGACCAAAUGGCUGCCUAAUUAAAAGGACAUGCCUAUCUCUUUUAAAUAUUUGUUUUAAUCUUACUGCUUUAUUUUUAAUUAACAACUCACGUGACCUCAGUAAUGUCUGGAAAAAAAGGUGUCAUAGAAUUUCUUUUUUUUUUUCCUCAGUGAGGUUUUGAUGUUUGGUUUGGGUUUUGAAUUGACGCCUCAUGGUCAGUGUUCAAGAGAAGGUUGACUUCCUAUCAGAACUUCGGAGUAGGUAUGCUAUUGAGGGGUUGAAGUCUGGUUAAUAUGUGAUCAAGAUAGCAAAAAGACACGGGAGAAAAGGGGUAUGGAAAGAAGAAAAGGGAGGAAAGAGGGAAGGGAGGGAGGGAGGAGGGGAGGAAAGGAGAGAAGAAGGGGGAAGAAAGGAAAGGAAUUAACAGGUACACAUUUCUAGAUUAUAAUUUACAAAGAUGUUAAUUGUGAUUUCUGUAUUUUAGUCUUUAAUUCACUAGUUCCUUUCCAAAAACUGCCAGUUGUUAAAGAGGUGAUCCCUGACUCAAACAGCACAGAUCGCCUUGGGAAGGAAAAGAAAUCCACCUUUAUCCUUGAUACCUCAAACGGAGAGACUCUUCCUAGCACCGGUUCCCCAUUUUAUCACUAAUUUCUCACUGUACGACCCCAAGUUCUGUGUAAGAAAUUACUCCAAAAUUUUGCACCUGAGGACAACAAAUGUUUCUCUCACCGUUUCUGAGGGUCAGGAAAUGUGGAGUGGCUUAGCAGGGAGUUAGGGCUUAGGGUCCCUUUUGAGGUUGUGGUCAAGCUGCUGACCAGCCCUGAGGUCACCUGAGGCUCGUCCGGGCCUGGAGGACGUGCUUUCAGCCUCUCACCUGUGGUUUCAGAUCUUCCCCACAUACCUUUCCACAGCUGUUAACCCUUUCCUCCAAAGAACUCACCCCAACUCAAGAUGAGUAAAAUAAGAUCCCAGAGUUCCCGCUGUGGCUCAGGGGGUUAAGAACCUGACUCUCCAUGAGGAUGUGGGUUUGAUCCCUGGCCUCACUCAGUGGGUUAAGGUUUGGGCAUUGCUUCGAGCUGUGAUAUAGGUCACAGAUGUGGCUCAGAUCUGGCCUUGCUGUGCCUGUAGUAUAGGCUGGCUGCCACAGCCCUGAUGGCAUCCCUAGCCUGGGAGCUUCCAUAUACCACUGGUGUGGCCCUAAAAAGCAAAAUAAGUAAAUGAAGUUCUGAUUGCAACCAAUCAUGGAUAUAGGCACCAAGAGCUAUAUUGGAAAGAUCAUGUGCUGAAACUGGGGGUAGUUAGGGGUACUGUCGGGGUCUCAAAGAAUCCAUGCACGGGGAACUCUUCAAAUGUGGAUUCUGAGAAGGGCUGAGUUUUUCUGAGGCUUGAACCCUUCUGGAUACAUUCCCCCAUUGCCUGUCUUCUUCUUGGCGCUCUAAUCUUAUCUAUUACCCAGCUUCCCUUUUCCAAAUUGAUUAAUUAAAGAAUAAAAGAUGUCACACAGCUUUGAUUCUUUCUUUAAUCACUUUUAGAAGAAAGCAGUCAGGAAGUUAUGGUUCUGCUAAAUUGUGGUAUGGGGAGGGGGUAUGGGCAGGGGGUGUAGGCUCUGCUUGCAGAAAUCGCCAAGACAAUAAUGAAAAAACUAUUCAAAUUACCAGUUCCCCCAGCAUUAUGGAUAAAAAAAGCCUUGGCUAUUUUAUUUUGCAGAAUUAAAUUAGGCUCUUAACAAUAUACCAUCACCUUUUUGUUUUCUCUUGUUUUUCUUGAAGAUUAUCCAGUUUCCCACUCUGUUCAUUCCAAAUUUGGGGUUUCCAGCCUUUAUCUGCCCCUUCAGUAAAUGUCUUUCUUUCAGAUAGAAGACAGAGAUAGAAUCUCCCAUCUCCCAUAUGGAUAUAUACCGCAGAAAGAGAGCAUAUAGAUAGAUACAUCUAAAUAAUACAAGUAAUUACAAUGUAUCUACAUAUAACUUGUAGGGGCUAUAAUGGAAUGAAUUAAUAAGGAAACUGGUGAAGCAGCUACAGAAGAAGGAAAACGUUAAGGUGGCGUAUCCAUCUCUAAGCUCAUUCAUGCUUUUCCUGUGUGACAGCAGAAAGGCAAGAGAUACGCAUUCUCUUCUAACAUCAGUAACUGUCUAAAAAGGUGUUAAAUACAUCAUUUAAAGGAACAAACGUAACUACCGGAAGAAUUUAAACAAACUAUAUACUUUCAAAGUAACAGAAGAAGAUGAAAAAUAGGAAUACAGCAUGUCAAUUAAAGGAAAAACGAAAGAAAUAAGGUGAGAGAAUAAAGUCAAAUACACUGUCGAAAAUGUCACUCUAAACAAAACCAGCAACAAAAAUCUGGCUUCAUGUUAUGUAACACAAAUAUGUAUAUCAAAGUUACAUAGUAAGCUUAAGGAAAAUCACCGAACAAACUUCCUCAAAAAUGUUUUUAAAAGGUAGUGCAUUCAUAUUAGGCAAAAAAAAAUCAAAGCUAAUAAUCAUUAAAAUUGAUAAAACUGAUAAAGAUUUUAAAAUGAUAAAUUAUAAAUAGGAGGCCUUUCUGUUAAAAUCCAUCAAUUUAUCUUACAUCAAUGUUUGUAAACUGAAGAUAUAUUUAAGACGAAUUUUCUAAAAGUAACUAAUAAAAAGUGUAGAACAUUUUGUGGCUUAGAAUGUAAAGUACUUUUUAAGCAAGGAUCUGAGACGAGAAAACCUCAGGAUAUAUUUAACCUAAUCAUGAAAAAAUAUUUUAAGUAGAUCCAACUUUUUCAAGGACAAUUUGCCAUAUUUGCCUUAGCAGUUUGGCCUCCUGAAAUCCGCCCUGCAGCUCUGCUCACCUAUGGUGUGCUUAAUUAUGAUCCCCAAAUAUCAAUUUCCUAAUCCUGGGGCCUGUGAAGUUAAUGUAUAUGGGAAAAGGGACUUGGUCGAUGUGACCGGAUAAAAGGAUCUUUUCCCUUAAAAAAAAA